UCAGCACAGGUGAAAGCCGAGCCUGAGAGUCACAGAGGCGCUGCCUCCCGCCCUUGGCCUGGCCAAGAUGGAGACAAAAAGGGAGAGGCUCCCCCAGUUCCCAAGAGAGUCCUGAUGGCAGGAGCUUCCCGGACGUCAUCUCGAAUCCCCACACCAGCCCGGUGAGGCGUGCACCCUUAGUAUUCUCUCUCUAUAGGUGGGGAAGCCGAGGCCGAUUGUUGAGGGACACGCCCCAGGCCUCAAAGCUGCAGAUAUCCAUUGAGCUCCCACUGCACUGGGCACUGGAGAGAGAAUAGCACACAUGAUGGACAUGGUCCCUGCUCUGUUGUCACAUGGAGAAGACAGACACUACACAGCAUGGAAGUUCGGGGCAUGGGACCUCGUGGACACAGGAUAAGCCUGGGCUACCCAGCAGGCUUAUCCUGUGUGACUCCGGCUACCCAGCACCUCCAGGGAGAAGCCAUGGUGACGCGUCUUCUACUCACAGACCUGCAGGGGCUCCCACCUCCCAGGACGGUGAUUCCCAAACUCUAGUCCCACCUUCUCCAGUCCCCUUCUCUCCACGUGGGACCUGAAGGAACCAUUUCUGGACAUUAUGUUUUCUUCAAAAUGAUUCUUCUCUUACAUAAAUUUAUUUUGCAAAGAAACUUUGUAUCAUCAAUACAAAAAACUGGAAAAGCAGUAUAACAAGUCCCGAAAAGGAAAUAAAAAUAA